rnacentral:rRNA from 1 species
GUCGAACGCUGGCGGCAUGCUUUACACAUGCAAGUCGAACGGCAGCGCGGGCUUUGGCCUGGCGGCGAGCGGCGAACGGGUGAGUAAUACAUCGGAACGCGCCCACUAGUAGGGGAUAGCCCGGCGAAAGCCGGAUCAAUACCGCAUACGACCCGCGGGAGAAAGCGGGGGAUCUUCGGACCUCGCGCUACUGGAGUGGCCGAUGGCAGAUUAGGUAGUUGGGGGGGUAAAGGCCUACCAAGGCGACGAUCUGCAGCUGGGUUGGGAGGACCGCCAGCCACACUGGGGCUGGGGAACGGCCCCAGCUCCUACGGGAGGCCGGAGGGGGGAAAUUUGGCGCAAUGGCGGAAACCUGAUCCAACAAAGCCCCGUGUGUGAUGAAGGCCUUCGGGUUGUAAAGCACUUUUGGGGGGGACGAAAAGUACGGUGCGAAUAGCACGGUUCGAUGACGGUACCCGCAGAAUAAGCCCCGGCUAACUACGUG